UUGCUCUCGGGUGACGAGCGGCGGACGGGUGAGUAAUGUCUGGGAAACUGCCUGAUGGAGGGGGAUAACUACUGGAAACGGUAGCUAAUACCGCAUAACGUCGCAAGACCAAAGUGGGGGACCUUCGGGCCUCAUGCCAUCAGAUGUGCCCAGAUGGGAUUAGCUAGUAGGUGGGGUAAUGGCUCACCUAGGCGACGAUCCCUAGCUGGUCUGAGAGGAUGACCAGCCACACUGGAACUGAGACACGGUCCAGACUCCUACGGGAGGCAGCAGUGGGGAAUAUUGCACAAUGGGCGCAAGCCUGAUGCAGCCAUGCCGCGUGUAUGAAGAAGGCCUUCGGGUUGUAAAGUACUUUCAGCGAGGAGGAAGGCAUUAAGGUUAAUAACCUUGGUGAUUGACGUUACUCGCAGAAGAAGCACCGGCUAACUCCGUGCCAGC
rnacentral:rRNA from 1 species